rnacentral:rRNA from 1 species
UUUAUGGAGAGUUUGAUCCUGGCUCAGGAUGAACGCUGGCGGCGUGCCUAAUACAUGCAAGUCGAGCGAACAGAUGAGAAGCUUGCUUCUCUGAUGUUAGCGGCGGACGGGUGAGUAAC